AUACGGAGGAUCCGAGCGUUAUCCGGAUUUAUUGGGUUUAAAGGGUGCGUAGGCGGCCAAUUAAGUCAGGGGUGAAAUACGGUGGCUCAACCAUCGCAGUGCCUUUGAUACUGAUUGGCUUGAAUCCAUUUGAAGUGGGCGGAAUAAGACAAGUAGCGGUGAAAUGCAUAGAUAUGUCUUAGAACUCCGAUUGCGAAGGCAGCUCACUAAGCUGGUAUUGACGCUGAUGCACGAAAGCGUGGGGAUCGAACAGGAUUAGAUACCCUGGUAGUCCACGCCCUAAACGAUGAUAACUCGAUGUUGGCGAUAGACAGCCAGCGUCCCAGCGAAAGCGUUAAGUUAUCCACCUGGGGAGUACGCCCGCAAGGGUGAA
rnacentral:rRNA from 1 species